rnacentral:rRNA from 1 species
CCUACGGGAGACUGCAGUGAGGAAUAUUGGUCAAUGGGCGGGAGCCUGAACCAGCCAAGUCGCGUGAGGGAAGACGGUCCUAUGGAUUGUAAACCUCUUUAGGCGGGGAGCAAUGCCGGGCACGCGUGCCCGGAGGGAGAGUCCCCGCAGAAUAAGCAUCGGUUAACUCCGUGCCAGCAGCCGCGGUAUUACGGAGGAUGCGAGCGUUAUCCGGAUUAAUUGGGUUAAAAGGGUGCGUAGGCGGAUUUUUAAGUCAGCGGUAAAAGGUACGGGCUCAACCCGGGCCGGCCGUUGAAACUGGGGGGCUGGAGUGGGCGAGAAGUAUGCGGAAUGCGUGGUGUAGCGGUGAAAUGCAUAGAUAUCACGCAGAACUCCGAUUGCGAAGGCAGCAUACCGGAGCCCGACUGACGCUGAGGCACGAAAGCGUGGGGAUCGAACAGGAUUAGAUACCCCUGUAGUC